rnacentral:snRNA from 1 species
GUGCUUGCUUUGGCAGCACAUAGAUCAAAAUUGGAGCAAUACAGAGAAGAUCAGCAUGGCCUCUGCACAAGGGUGACACACAAAUUCGUGAAGCCUGCCAUAUUUUA